CCCUUAGAUGUCCUGGGCCGCACGCGCGCUACACUGAACGGAUCAGCGCGUUUUCCCUUCCCGAGAGGGACGGGUAACCUGCUGAACCCCGUUCGUGGUAGGGAUCGGGGCUUGCAAUUAUUCCCCGUGAACCAGGAAUGCCCAGUAAGUGCAAGUCAUAAGCUUGCGUUGAUUACGUCCCUGCCCUUUGUACACACCGCCCGUCGCUCCUACCGAUUGAAUGGUCCGGUGAAGCGUUCGGACCGUGGCCUUUGGACGGUUCGCCGUCUGUUGGCUGCGGGAAGUUCGUUAAACCUUAUCAUUUAGAGGAAGGAGAANUCGUAACA
rnacentral:rRNA from 1 species